rnacentral:rRNA from 1 species
AUUGAACGCUGGCGGCAGGCCUAACACAUGCAAGUCGAGCGGUAGCACAGGGAGCUUGCUCCUGGGUGACGAGCGGCGGACGGGUGAGUAAUGUCUGGGAAACUGCCUGAUGGAGGGGGAUAACUACUGGAAACGGUAGCUAAUACCGCAUAACGUCGCAAGACCAAAGAGGGGGACCUUCGGGCCUCUUGCCAUCAGAUGUGCCCAGAUGGGAUUAGCUAGUAGGUGGGGUAAUGGCUCACCUAGGCGACGAUCCCUAGCUGGUCUGAGAGGAUGACCAGCCACACUGGAACUGAGACACGGGCCAGACUCCUACGGGAGGCAGCAGUGGGGAAUAUUGCACAAUGGGCGCAAGCCUGAUGCAGCCAUGCCGCGUGUAUGAAGAAGGCCUUCGGGUUGUAAAGUACUUUCAGCGGGGAGGAAGGUGUUGAGGUUAGUAACCUCAGCAAUUGACGUUACCCGCAGAAGAAGCACCGGCUAACUCCGUGCCAGCCGCCGCGGUAA